rnacentral:precursor_RNA from 1 species
GAACCUUCAGAUUUCAGAUUUGAUUAGGGUUUUAGCGUCUUCGGACCAGGCUUCAUUCCCCCCAAUUGUUGCUCCCUGUUUACUCCAUAUUUCUUCCUUCUUUUCAAAUUAGGGUUUCAGAUCCAGUGAAUGAACCCUUGUUAAAGGUUUGAUCUCU